CCUCUCCAGGGCUGCCUUAGGCGAGAAGCUGGUGGGAUCGAUCCAGCCAUCUGUUUAAUCCCAGAAACAAAGGUUCUGCGUGGGAUGCACAUUUGCCCUGCAUUAAAUCAGGCCUCAUGUCAUCAGUGUGCUGAGUCCUGUCCAGUGCUCUUCCCAGCCUGCUCACUCCAGCACUCAGAAAGUCUCUGCUUGUUCUAGCCUGUCUUUCGCACCUCUCCAACAUGUGUGAAUCUCCCUUUUGAAUAGAGAGCAAACCGGCGUCAGGCCAGAGCCUUGGCAGGCAGAAUCGCAAGUUGGCUCGCUGGCUGUUUCAGGCGCUCAUUGUGCUUGUGUUCUCAGGAAGUGAGACUCCCCUGAGCGCACCAGGCUGCAUGCAGCUCAGGCCACGUGGAGAAGCCAUGGAGAAUGAGACACACCCUGGAGGAGAGCAUGGCCAAGAAGCACCAGAUAAGUGACGAAGAAGCUUCUCAGAGGCGGCUCUCCCGGCUCCAGCUCCCCAAUGGCCAUCAUGUGGAGUCAAGAAGAACCGUUCUGUUGAGCCCUCUCCAAAUUCCUGACCCACAAAAUUGUGAGCAAACUAAAACAGCUAAUUGAAGUCCCUAUGUUUUGGAGCACUUUGUUAUACAGCAGUGGAUAACUGCAACAUGACCCAACAGCCAGCAAGAUCUUUUAAAAAUGGAAACCAAACAAUGCCACUCCUCAACUUCAAGCUCUCCAGUGGCUUCUUAUUACAAAAUCUGGACUUUUCACCAUGGCCUGCAGGGCUCUGGACAGUCUGGGCCCUGUCCCCAUUGCCACUCCCUUCCUCCCUGGGCUCCAUCCACACUGUCCUCAACCCUCCAGCACAGUAAGUGCCUGCUCACAUUCCUUCUUCCUGAGACACUCCGCAUCUCUUCUCAUCUCCUGGUCUCUGCUAAGAUGUCAUCUCCUCCACUUUACACCCAUCUGGGUGCCUGUUAACAAGAAAACAGGAAAUAACAAGGGUUGAUGAAGAUGUGGAGAAGUUGAAAUCCCGAUACAUUUUAUAUGAUACAUGUACUAUAAAAUGAUACACUUUAUAGUAAGAUGGCACUGUUCUGCUGCGGAAAACAGUAUGGUGUUUUCUAAAAAAAUUAAACAGAAUUACUGUAUGACCUGGCAAUUUCUCUUCUGGGUAAAUACUCAAAAGAAUUGAAACCAGAAUCUCACAGAGAUAAUUGUAUGCCCAUAUUCGUAGCAGUAUUAUUCACAGGAGCUAAGGGGUGGGAGCAACCCAAGUGUCCAUGACAGAUGAAUGGAUGAGCACAUGUGGUCUAUCCACACAAUGGGUAUUACUGAGCCUUCAAAAGGAAGACAAUUCUGCACAUGCUACAACUUGGAUGAACCUUGAGGACAUUAUGCUGAGCGAUAUAAGCCAGUAAAAAAAGGAAAAUACUGUAUGACUCCACCUAUAUGAGGUACUAGUAUAGUCACAUUCCUAGAGACACAAAGUAGAAUGGUGGGUGCCAGAAGAGGAGGGAAUGGGGAGUUAGUGUUUAGUGGGGACAGAGUUUCAGGUUUGCAAGAUGAAAAAAGAUAGAGACACAUGGUGGUAAUGGCUGCACAACAAUGUGAAUGUGCUUAAUGCCACUGAACUUAAAAAUGGUUAAGAUGAUAAAUUCUGUGUUAUGUAUAUUUUACCACAAUAAAAAAUACGAAAAGAAAAACC
rnacentral:lncRNA from 1 species